rnacentral:lncRNA from 1 species
AUCCAGACUCAUAAAGCUAGGGAUAGCCAUAUCUUCGAGUCUUCAGUUCCUGGUGUGGAGCUUUGAGCUGCAUGGGCCAGGAUUAUCUGCCCGCAUUGGACUUUGCAAGCAGAUUACUUGGUUAUUGAGGACUCGAUCAUGAUAGUGGCUUGGAUCCAGGAUGUGUGCAGGGUGAGGCCGCCCACCCUCUUCUAUAGGAUAUAUCUACCUUAUUAACCGGUUGUGCAGCCUUGAUUAUCAGGCACAUCUUUCGAAAAGUGAACAGCAA